AGAACCAAAUCCCUUCGACAUAGAAAGAGAUUUAAUAACUCAAACAUUCAAAUUGAAGAGACCACAAUUUCUCAAGUACUACAAGGAUCAUAUUGAUCAACUAUACAAGGAAGCAAAGGGAGCAAUGGUGUAAACCAUGCAGCAAGUGGCCAUGCUGUGUGCAACAAUUUUAAGAUUUCUGCUAGUUAUGAAGAAAAAUCCAUUUGGCAUUCUGUGUAUUUUGGUUCAUUAUUGUGUUGAUUGAAGUGCAAAACCAUAAACAUAGAUAGAAUAGGCUGUAUGCUGAAACAGCAGCUCCAUAUGUAAUUCUUGUAAAAAAUCACAUAAUAAAAUUGUGUGGCCCAUGCAAAAUCUGUAUUUUCUUUUGGCAGAUAUGCUUUAUUCUUUCAUUUUUAUA